GCCAGACUCCUACGGGAGGCAGCAGUGGGGAAUAUUGGGCAAUGGGCGCAAGCCUGACCCAGCAACGCCGCGUGAAGGAAGAAGGCUUUCGGGUUGUAAACUUCUUUUGACAGGGAAGAGCAGAAGACGGUACCUGUCGAAUAAGCCACGGCUAACUACGCGCCAGCAGCCGCGGUAAUACGUAGGGAGCGAGCGUUGUCCGGAUUUACUGGGUGUAAAGGGCGUGUAGGCGGAGCUGCAAGUCAGAAGUGAAAUCUCCGGGCUCAACCCGGAAACUGCUUUUGAAACUGUAGCCCUUGAGUAUCGGAGAGGCAGGCGGAAUUCCUAGUGUAGCGGUGAAAUGCGUAGAUAUUAGGAGGAACACCAGUGGCGAAGGCGGCCUGCUGGACGACAACUGACGCUGAGGCGCGAAAGCGUGGGGAGCAAACAGGAUUAGAUACCCGUGUAAC
rnacentral:rRNA from 1 species